rnacentral:rRNA from 1 species
AGAUUGAACGCUGGCGGCAUGCCUUACACAUGCAAGUCGAACGGUAGAGUAGCAAUACUUGAGAGUGGCGAACGGGUGAGUAAUAUAUCGGAACGUGCCCAGUCGUGGGGGGAUAACGUAGAGAAAUUUACGCUAAUACCGCAUACGAUCUAAGGAUGAAAGCGGGGGACCGUAAGGCCUCGCGCGAUUGGAGCGGCUGAUAUCAGAUUAGGUUGUUGGUGAGGUAAAAGCUCACCAAGCCGACGAUCUGUAGCUGGUUUGAGAGAACGACCAGCCACACUGGGACUGAGACACGGCCCAGACUCCUACGGGAGGCAGCAGUGGGGAAUUUGGACAAUGGGCGAAAGCCUGAUCCAGCAAUGCCGCGUGCAGGAAGAAGGCCUUCGGGUUGUAAACUGCUUUGUACGGAACGAAACGGUCUGCUUUAAUACAGUGGCUAAUGACGGUACCGUAAGAAUAAGCACCGGCUAACUACGUGCCAGCAGCCGCGGUAA